GUGGGUAUAGCUCAGUGGUAGAGCACAUGCUUAGCAUACAUGAGGUCCUGGAUUCAAUCCCCAGUUCCUCCA
rnacentral:tRNA from 1 species